ncrna:unclassified sequences L2-Alphaproteobacteria ribosomal protein leader
GGCCACCUUCGGGGGGCUAUUACAUAGGCGGGGCAGGGCCCUGCCGUUAGCAAACGGAAGACAGAAA